AAAAAUUAUAUUUCCUCAUCUGUAGAUCUGGAUAUUAUUUUGUUUCAUAUAUUUUGGGUUUGUUUUUUUCUUUUUGGGAUUGGUUUAUAGGUGGAUGCCCUAACUGUCUUGGUGAAUGGUAUGAUAUGCCAAAUCCAUUUUUAAUCCUUGGUUUCUGUUGCUAUAUCUGUUUCAAUUGUUUUUGUUUGAUUGGUAAGGCAAUGGAAAAUACAAUGUGGACAUGCACACCCCCCGUUUGAUGGUUGGUGUAGGAGAGAGAAAUAUGGGGACCAAGAAGGAGAGAGGGAAAUCACCCAUCUAAGCGGGUUUAUCUAAGCAGUCCAUGCUGAAGCAACUGAUUGUAGCUUUGGUGAAGGGACUAAACUCUGAUCCAACCUCAAUGAUUUAAAAAAAGAUUGUUGGAUUGGUAAGCAUUUUCCGACCUGAGGGAAUAGAGAAUCCUGAUGUCUAUUUCUCUGAAAGGGCAUUUUCUCAUCCUUUAUGCUUCUUUAGAAUUGAUUCUUAGUUACCAUUGUAUGUAUUUCAUUUUUAAUCGCACAGUCAAUGUCCACCAAUUCAAUGGUCAGAAAAUCAAAAUAAUCUCUCUUUUUUCUUCUUUUUUUCUUUUUUUCUUUUUUCUGGUUAAUGAUACAUCUGAACUGGAAUAUAUUAUUUGGAUAGUUUAAUUUGAAUUUCUUGUAUGGCAGGUAUUCAAUUUUUAUGAAAUUUGAAAGUGCUUGCAUACCAUCCAUCACACUCUGUUAGUGUAUUGAAGUUCUUCUCUUGUACAAUUUUUACGUAGUUAAAAAAAGCUGUAAUGAUGCAGGUUACAACACCAUGGUUUUAAGACUCAGAGACUCGAACCAACUCGUCUGGUCCCGAGGUGUCGUACAUGAUGAGUGGGGAGUGAUUCAUCUCACAAUCCAAUUCUCAUUUAUGUGAAUAUGCUUUGAUAUGAGAUUGAAGAAGGACGGUUGCAGGCUUGGUGUGUGCUUCUCGAUGAUAAGGUCUCUUUUAGGAUGCAGUGGCCACAAUAUUCAGAUUUUUUGGUUAAUGGUGGUUUUGCAUCUCCAACUUCGCUUGGGUCAAUGUGCUCCAAUAAACUCAUUUGUUGCUGAGGAGUAUGAUAACAUGCAAUGCUUGAGUAGGCUGUUGGACAUGGGAUGUGUUUAGUGUGGCCAUAGUAGUUGUUGUGGAGGCUGCUGGACAUAAGAUGAGAUGGAUGUUGCUGUGGAGGGCCACUACAUGCCAUGGCUCUGUUUCUAUUUUUCUCAGUACAGCUAUGAUGAUUUAUGGGUUGCUUAUUUUUGGAUUGCUUUUAGUCCUUGUCUAAGCUUAAAUUCCUUGUAAUUGUUUCUUUUUGUGUCGUAUAGUGGUGUUAUGCAAUAGGUAAGGGCUGACACUUUUUUGUGGCGCUCAUCAAAAUGGAGGGAUAGCUUGAAAUGAUGUGUAUCAAGAUCAGAUUCAGCAUUUCCUAACAGCAUUGUCUUUGCAUGUUUGCCGAUAUAUAUGUAGGCAAACAGAUAAGAGCCAGAUAUACUUCUUGGCUGUUUGAAUUUGCUUUAAUUGUUGGUUUUUCUUCUAUACAUCUCACAUCUCUCAGGACUUUCUGUUGUAUAUUGAAAGUGUAUCCGGAACGUUGGUUAUGCGCUGGGUUAACUCACAGUCAGGAAGAAUUUUAGGAUGGCUUGAAUGGACCAUUCAACAGGAGGGUGCUAUUCAUGCGGCUUUUUUGGAGGCCAUCAGGUCCAUGUUCCAGCACUCCGGAGCAGCCCUUAUGGAAAGAAAGUCCUUUCAAGCAACAAACUGAAGAAGUAAUUUAUGCUGUUUCAGGAAGUUCUGCAAGCGGGAUAUCAUGCCUUCAUAUGGCUGAAGCAUGGCGUGACCUCUCAUCCAAAUAGAACAAAAUGGAUGGGUUGAAUGUCUGAACCGCAUUUUAACAAACCCUGUAAAUAAUCAAGAAUAGGUGGGUAAUCCAAUUUUAGCUGUUGUAUGUAGUGUGGUCCACUUAAGUUAUAGAUUGACUUGAUUUUUAGGCCCAUGGCCCACCAUAAAAGGGCACAUCUGAUUGAUGGGGUGGAUGUCCAACUAGAUUAUAAUGGGCCCACCCAGCUCGACCUCAAAGGAAGCUUCCCAUGGGUGGGUGGGUGGGUGGGUGGGUGGGUGUUUUCCACAAGCUUAAGCAUUGGAAGGAAAUGAGAUGCAGACCAAGUAGAUGUCACACACAACAUGAUAGGCUGGUUUUAUACCCAUUGCACACGAAUAAAUAGCGAUCUGGAAAUAAAAUCACUGAACUUUCUUAUACAAGCUCUUUUGUUUAAUGGACCAUGCAUUCCAAAAAGUUACCGAACAACAGAACCGGUGUUCCCAACUCAGCUGAAAUUUGCAACUAAAUGCAGUCUUUAAUACCCAUGAUUUUUUGAAGGUUUUUUUUUUUUUUUUGUUAUCGUGUGUUUCAAGGCUGUGCUUGCUAGGAUAUUGUAUUAUACUGGACUAGAAUGAACUUCGUCGGCAUUUGCAUAUGUCAUGUCCAACUUAUAUCCAUCAAUGACCUUGUUGGCUAUCAUCUUCAGGUAUAACCCACUCAUCAUAGCAUUUUAAGUUAGGAUCAUGUAGACUUUGUAAUGAGUAGAGAAGUAUUGGUUUCUACUUUGGACAUGGGUUUUCAAGUUUGGUGGAUGGUUGGUUUCAUCCAAGUAUUUAUUCCCAUUUCAUGUAAUGCAGGAAAAAGCGGAAAAUGAACUUAAGAAACUA